UGGAACUUGCUCCUACUAUAAACGCUCUUACUUCAGAAACAUGAUGAGGAAAUGGAGAGACCAUGCGUUCCUUUCUCUGCAGGGCAUCUGACUUGGAUCGGGAGGAGAGAAGAUGGUAACUCAAGGGAAUAAGUAGAUGUAGAGAAGAGCUCUGGUGGUGCAUCAGAUUUACCCCCCACACGUCGCCACAAGCCAAUGAAAAGGGAACAGAGAGCAAUGGCUGACAAGGGUUAAGUUUCAAUGGGGAAGAAGAAGGAAGAACACUGAAGCCACCCUGGCUGAGUGACCAGAGGAAUGCAAGCUCCAGGACAAGGUGCGUGACGUGGAGGAGAGACUACUGAGGUCUGUGCGUGCAGGUGUGAUCACCAGUCUUUCCUGACCUUUGCCCCAUCUUACUCUAAUGUCCAUUGCUCCUUCCACUCACCCACUCAGGACCUUCCAAGGGCUCCCUCUUGCCUAUGAAGAGGAACUAAAACUCCAAAAAGGCUCUUCAUGCUCUGACUCGGCCUCUCCAGUCAACCUAAUCUCAGCCCACUCCAGUUCCCUGCAAUGCCUGCCCUGACACUGCCAGGCAGUCUCCUGGCUCCAGCAGUUUGUUCUUCCUGUCAUCUCUAACUGAAACGGCUAUUCUCUCUCAUUCCUGUGUCUCCAGAUCUUCUCCAUCUUCAAGGCCCAGUCAAAUAAAGCCUUCCCUAUUCACCCUAGCCAGGAACAAA